CUCUUAUCAAGAGCGGUGGAGGGACAAGGCCUGAAGAAACCGCGGCAACCUUCAAACAAUGUUGUUUGAAAAAGGUGCUAAUUCCUGCAAAGCAUAUUGCUUUGAAAGAUGAGAG
rfam:Bacilli bacterium VT-13-104 contig029, whole genome shotgun sequence.